GUGCCCUUGCCAUUGCUCCAUCUGCAAGACUCACCCUUCUAUAGAAGUAAAUUUGCCUUGCUGGAGUGUUAACUUGUUGUUGGAGUGCUAACUCUUCUUUGUGGCACCAAAAAGUUAUUUCCAACACGAAGCUGCACCCUUGGUGGAGGGAACAUCUGACGAAGUUCAAUGUUUGGGGAAAACAAUAUCUGGAAAGAUUGAAGAGUCAGCAGGAGAAACACCUAGGAAAAUUACAAGGCCUGUGAAAGAAACAUCUGAGAAAUUUGCAUGGCCACAAGAAAGACCUACAAAGACCACAUGGGAGGAAAAAGAAACAUCUGUAAAGACUGAAUGCGUGGCAGGAGUAACAUCUAAUAAAACUGAAGUUUUGGAAGAAGGAACAUCUAAGAUGAUCACAUGUCCUACAAAAAAACAGCUACAAAAGCAAGUACACAUGAUGGAAUCUCACUCUGUUGCCCAGGCUGGAGUGC
rnacentral:lncRNA from 1 species